rnacentral:rRNA from 1 species
UGGUUUUCCAGGCAAAUCCGGAAAAUCAAGGCUGAGGCGUGACGACGAGGCACUACGGUGCUGAAGCAACAAAUGCCCUGCUUCCAGGAAAAGCCUCUAAGCAUCAGGUAACAUCAAAUCGUACCCCAAACCGACACAGGUGGUCAGGUAGAGAAUACCAAGGCGCUUGAGAGAACUCGGGUGAAGGAACUAGGCAAAAUGGUGCCGUAACUUCGGGAGAAGGCACGCUGACACGUAGGUGAAGUGAUUUACUCAUGGAGCUGAAGUCAGUCGAAGAUACCAGCUGGCUGCAACUGUUUAUUAAAAACACAGCACUGUGCAAACACGAAAGUGGACGUAUACGGUGUGACGCCUGCCCGGUGCCGGAAGGUUAAUUGAUGGGGUCAGCGCAAGCGAAGCUCCUGAUCGAAGCCCCGGUAAACGGCGGCCGUAACUAUAACGGUCCUAAGGUAGCGAAAUUCCUUGUCGGGUAAGUUCCGACCUGCACGAAUGGCGUAAUGAUGGCCAGGCUGUCUCCACCCGAGACUCAGUGAAAUUGAACUCGCUGUGAAGAUGCAGUGUACCCGCGGCAAGACGGAAAGACCCCGUGAACCUUUACUAUAGCUUGACACUGAACAUUGAGCCUUGAUGUGUAGGAUAGGUGGGAGGCUUUGAAGUGUGGACGCCAGUCUGCAUGGAGCCGACCUUGAAAUACCACCCUUUAAUGUUUGAUGUUCUAACGUGGACCCGUAAUCCGGGUUGCGGACAGUGUCUGGUGGGUAGUUUGACUGGGGCGGUCUCCUCCUAAAGAGUAACGGAGGAGCACGAAGGUUGGCUAAUCCUGGUCGGACAUCAGGAGGUUAGUGCAAUGGCAUAAGCCAGCUUGACUGCGAGCGUGACGGCGCGAGCAGGUGCGAAAGCAGGUCAUAGUGAUCCGGUGGUUCUGAAUGGAAGGGCCAUCGCUCAACGGAUAAAAGGUACUCCGGGGAUAACAGGCUGAUACCGCCCAAGAGUUCAUAUCGACGGCGGUGUUUGGCACCUCGAUGUCGGCUCAUCACAUCCUGGGGCUGAAGUAGGUCCCAAGGGUAUGGCUGUUCGCCAUUUAAAGUGGUACGCGAGCUGGGUUUAGAACGUCGUGAGACAGUUCGGUCCCUAUCUGCCGUGGGCGCUGGAGAACUGAGGGGGGCUGCUCCUAGUACGAGAGGACCGGAGUGGACGCAUCACUGGUGUUCGGGUUGUCAUGCCAAUGGCACUGCCCGGUAGCUAAAUGCGGAAGAGAUAAGUGCUGAAAGCAUCUAAGCACGAAACUUGCCCCGAGAUGAGUUCUCCCUGAGACUUUAGGUCUCCUGAAGGAACGUUGAAGACGACGACGUUGAUAGGCCGGGUGUGUAAGCGCAGCGAUGCGUUGAGCUAACCGGUACUAAUGAACCGUGAGGCUUAACCUUACAACGCCGAAG